CACGUAGGGCGCAAGCGUUGUCCGGAAUUAUUGGGCGGAAAGAGCUCGUAGGCGGUCUGUCGCGUCGGUCGUGAAAACUUGGGGCUUAACCCUGAGCUUGCGGUCGAUACGGGCAUGACUGGAGUUCGGCAGGGGAGACUGGAAUUCCUGGUGUAGCGGUGAAAUGCGCAGAUAUCAGGAGGAACACCGGUGGCGAAGGCGGGUCUCUGGGCCGAUACUGACGCUGAGGAGCGAAAGCGUGGGGAGCGAACAGG
rnacentral:rRNA from 1 species